rnacentral:tRNA from 1 species
AUUUAUAUAGUAUAAAAAUUAUAUUUAACUUCCAAUUAAAUGAUCUAAUACAUAUUAGUAUAAAUA